CCUAUCAGAGUGCAGCUCUUAACCCGUAGCUGACCUCUAGGCAGACUACACUCUGGACCUGCAGCUGCAAUCUGACUUUAAUUUGCUCACAAACUCGGGAUCGUUUUGUUGUUUCACACAUGACGCAGGUUCCCACGUAUCCUCUUCUUCUUCUUCCCCUCUCCCUCCUUCUCCUUCAUUCUGUCGCUCCAGUACACGGAGGCCAUGCUCUGGUUUUUCCGGGAGAGUUCAGCCAUUGGUUGAACAUGCGGACCAUCAUAGAAGAGCUGGUGAAGAAAAACCACUCGGUCACCAUCCUAGUGCCCGAUGCAUCGCCUACUGUCAACUACAACAACAGCCGCGAUGCCGCCAAGUUCAACUUCCUGGUUUUCAAGGUGCCAUACAGCAGGGAGGAAUAUCUGAGCCCCAUUCAGGAAUUUCUAAACUUCUCCAUGCACGACCCCUCAACGCUGCAAGUGGCCAUGAAGCUGAUCAACUUCAUGGGGCGGACCUUGGACUUCGCGAGGCAGCAGUGUGACGGGAUUCUAAAGAACGAUCAGUUGAUGGCAACUCUGCGGGAUGCCGCUUUCGACGUCGUCCUACUUGACUCCUUGGUAAUGUGUGGCGACCUGGUGGCUGAUGUGCUCGGCGUGCCGCUCGUCAUCUCGCUACGCUUGAGUAUCGGCAGUGUUUUUGAGCGUCACUGUGGCCACGCUGUGUUUCUGCCAUCUUAUGUCCCGGUAGCUCCUGUGCUGUACAACGACCACAUGACGUUCACGGAGAGACUAAUCAACUUGGUGACAUAUGUGGCGUCAUCAGUGCUUACCGAACUGGGCUGGAAGCUGACGAUGGAUAAAUACUACAGUGAGAUUAAAGGAACUCCCACCAGUGUGUGUGAGACUCUGGGGAAGGCUGACGUGUGGCUCAUCAGGACGUUCUGGGACAUCGAUACGCCGCGGCCAACCCCACCCAACUUCAAACACGUGGGUGGUCUGAACUGCAGACCGGCCAAUCAGCUGCCAGAGGACCUGGAGGCUUUUGUGCAGAGUUCAGGUGAUGCUGGUGUAGUAGUGGUUUCUUUUGGCUCCAUGGUACCCAACCUGACGAUGGAGCGCACCAACGUCAUCGCCACCGCCUUAGGACGAAUCCCUCAGAAGGUGAUUUGGCGUCACCGUGGUGAAGCUCCACCUGCACUGGCGCCAAACAUAAAGAUUUCUGAUUGGAUCCCUCAGAACGAUCUGCUCGGUCACCCGAAGACACGAGCAUUCGUGACUCAUGGCGGCACUAACGGUCUGUACGAAGCUGUGUUUCACGGCGUGCCUCUGGUCGGCUUGCCGGUGUUUGGCGAUCAGUCUUAUAAUCUUAACCGCAUGAGCCACCUCGGCACUGCCAUUGUCCUCGACUUCAACAAAGUGACAGCUGAGGAGCUGGCAGAAGCACUGCAUGCCAUCGUCAACCAGCCAAGCUACAAGACCAGCAUUCAACGUCUGUCGGCGGUGCACCGCGACCAGCCGGUGACGCCACUGAAUACUGCCGUCUUCUGGUUGGAGUUUGUUAUGCGACAUCGUGGAGCUCGGCAUUUGCGGUUGGCUUCACAUAAUUUGAACUGGUUCCAGUACCACAGCUUGGACACGGGCGCUGUCCUGCUCGUCACUUUGAUGACUGCUGCUGCUUUGUGUUGGGCAGUCAUACGCUGCUUCCUGCAGAAGUGCAGACGACGAAGAGGAAGAGAGAAGGAGGACUGAAGAAAGUUUUUUUUUUUUUUGGAAGGGUGCAAAGGUGAGAGCUUGCUUGGGGCGGAAGAAAUGGCAGUGGGGGUAAGCCAGUCAGAAAGCAGAAGACCAAGAGGUCUCAUUCCUCACUGUCCUCUGUCCGCCAUGCUGGAUUUACAACCACAGAGCACGGAAGGUUACUGCAAGUUUCCUUACCUUGCCCAGGGUCCACUGUGCCUCUUACCCUGUGAGAGCUACAGGCUCCCGCCCCUCUUUAACCCCAAACAAGUGGGAGAAGAUGGAUGGAUAGGAGUUUGCAGACUUAAGUAAUGUUGCAAACAUCCAAAAAGAAGAAAAAAAUAUGUAUUUUACUUGAAAACCAGUUUAAACUUCUGCAAUGUGAAAUAGUUGUCCUUCCUUUCCCUUGACAGAGCGGAAAAAUGAUACUGAACACGUGCUGAGAAAUUUUCAAUAGUCCAGCCUUUUUCUGACUGCAGAAACUGACCCAAAUUUUCCCUCCCUAGACACGUUCAACAGUUUACCUCAGCAGGAGAAACACAGUUAAGAAUGACUGCUAAACCACUAAAGUGAUCCAGAUUGUGGAGUGCGCAGCUCACUGGGACGCUUACAUAAAAUGGGCCGUCGUUAAUGAAAUUUGUCUCACCUGUGCUUUUCCUGCUAAAGUUCUUUAA